rnacentral:rRNA from 1 species
AGCGAACGUUAGCGGCGGGCCUAACACAUGCAAGUCGAACGCGAAAGGUCUUCGGACUGAGUAGAGUGGCGCACGGGUGAGUAACACGUAGGUAAUCUACCCUUUGGCGGGGGAUAACGUUCCGAAAGGAGCGCUAAUACCGCAUAAGACCACGGAGUCUCCGGACGCUGUGGGAAAAGGUGGCCUCUUCUUGAAAGCUAUCACCGAAGGAUGAGCCUGCGUCCCAUCAGCUAGUUGGUAAGGUAAUGGCUUACCAAGGCGAAGACGGGUAGCUGGUUUGAGAGAAUGAUCAGCCGCACUGGCACUGGAACACGGGCCAGACUCCUACGGGAGGCAGCAGUGAGGAAUAUUGGGCAAUGGGCGAAAGCCUGACCCAGCCACGCCGCGUGAGUGAUGAAGGCCCUCGGGUCGUAAAGCUCUGUGGAGAGGGACGAAAACCCUGGUUUCAAAUAGGCUCCAGGCUUGACGGUACCUCUUUAGCAAGCACCGGCUAACUCUGUGCCAG